rnacentral:snoRNA from 1 species
AAUGGCUCCUCUGUGUAUAACACAUCCAACAGCAACUUGGGCUUACUCCUCACAGGUGGCAGGACACCAUGACCUUCCUGUGACAUUAUGCCCUAUAUAU